CGUGUAGGCGGUCCGAAAAGUCGAGUGUGAAAGCCCGAGGCUCAACCUCGGAAGUGCAUUCGAAACUCUCGGGCUUGAGUACUGGAGAGGGAAGCGGAAUUCCUGGUGUAGAGGUGAAAUUCGUAGAUAUCAGGAGGAACACCGGUGGCGAAGGCGGCUUCCUGGACAGAUACUGACGCUGAGACGCGAAAGCGUGGGGAGCAAACAGGAUUAGAUACCCUGGUAGUCCACGCUGUAAACGGUGAGCACUAGGUGUAGCGGGUAUUGACCCCUGCUGUGCCGUCGCAAACGCAUUAAGUGCUCCGCCUGGGGAUACGGCCGCAAGGUUAA
rnacentral:rRNA from 1 species